rnacentral:rRNA from 1 species
AGCCGCGAACGGGUGAGUAACACGUGGGUAACCCGCCCCGAUGACCGGGACAACCCGAGGAAACUCGGGCUAAUACCGGAUGUGGCGCACAGGUAUAAGCCCGUGCACUAAAGGAAGCUUCGGCCUCCGCAUUGGGAAGGGCCCGCGGCCCAUUAGCUUGUUGGUGAGGUAACGGCCCACCAAGGCAACGAUGGGUAGCUGGUCUGAGAGGACGAUCAGCCACACUGGGACUGAGACACGGCCCAGACUCCUACGGGAGGCAGCAGUGGGGAAUCUUGCGCAAUGCGCGAAAGCGUGACGCAGCAACGCCGCGUGAGGGAAGACGGCCUUCGGGUUGUAAACCUCUUUCAGGAGGGACGAAGGUUCACCGGUGAAUAGCCGUGUGGAUUGACGGUACCUCCAGAAGAAGCUCCGGCUAACUACGUGCCAGCAGCCGCGGUAAUACGUAGGGAGCAAGCGUUGUCCGGAAUCAUUGGGCGUAAAGCGCGCGUAGGCGGCCCUGUAAGUCCGCUGUGAAAGUCAAAGGCUCAACCUUUGAAAGCCGGUGGAUACUGCAGGGCUAGAGUCCGGAAGAGGCGAGUGGAAUUCCUGGUGUAGCGGUGGAAUGCGCAGAUAUCAGGAGGAACACCAAUAGCGAAGGCAGCUCGCUGGGACGGUACUGACGCUAAGGCGCGAAAGCGUGGGGAGCGAACAGGAUUAGAUACCCUGGUAGUCCACGCCGUAAACGAUG